ensembl:lncRNA ZNF542P zinc finger protein 542, pseudogene
AGUCACCAGCGGAACCCUCUCCACCAGGCUCCGCGUCGAGGCCCUACGGGGCGUCAAUACGCACGCGUACUUUGUGUCCCAGGUAGCUCGUCUCUUAGCCAUGUACGCCUCUGCAUUCCGGUCACUGGGAGCGGGGCCGUGGGGGCUGCACAUGCGCACUGCGAGUCCUCGCCUACUCCCAGAAACCACCCGGGCGCAUACGCGGUGCGGCCGCUGCUUCAGGUCGGCGGGCUCCAGGGAGACCUGGGUGGGCAGCGUCGCCGUUUCUCCUUUCUUGGGCAGUAUUUUUCCCAGCGCCACGCGGAGGCUGGGCCAUUAUGAGCUCUGCAUUUCCAGGACCUGGUCACUAUUCAGGACACGGUUCCAGCGCAGUGCGCGUUAGCCAUGUCUCAGGGAUGAGUGACAUUCCAAGAUGUGGCCAUUGACUUCUCCAAGGAAGAGUGGGGAUUCCUGAACCCUGCUCAGAGAGAUUUGUACACAACUGUGAUGCUGGAGAAUUAUCAGAACCUGGUCUGGCUGGGACUUUCCAUUUCUAAAUCUGUGAUUUCACUGUUGGAGAAAAGGAAACUGCCUUGGAUAAUGGCAAAAGAAGAGAUAAGAGGCCCAUUGCCAGGAUAUUUCAAGGUGUCAGAGAUGACCAUCUCCCAGGAGCCAAAGGCAAAGACUAGAACUCUCUUUGGAAAAGGUUAAAUUAUUUACUACACAAUGGCUAAGAUUUAUUUUAGCAAAAGAUAUAAAACAAAAUCAGCAAAGAUGUGCCAGGUGCAGAGAUUAAGGAGUUAUCUGCAAAGAGGGCUAUUAAUGAAGUAUUAUCGCAGUUUGACACAGUGAUAAAAUGUACAAGAAACGUAUGUAAGGAAUGUGGAAAUCUAUACUGCCACAAUAUGCAGCUUACUCUCCAUAAGAGAAAUCAUACACAAAAGAAAUGCAAUCAGUGUUUAGAUUGUGGGAAAUACUUCACUCGUCAAUCAACUCUCAUUCAGCAUCAAAGAAUCCACACGGGAGAGAGACCCUAUAAAUGUAACGAAUGUAUUAAAACCUUCAACCAGAGGGCACACCUUACCUAGCAUGAGAGAAUUCACACUGGUGAGAAACCUUACAAAUGUAAGGAAUGCAGGAAAACCUUCAGCCAGAUGACUCAUCUCACACAGCAUCAGACUACACAUACGAGAGAAAAGUUCCAUGAAUGCAGUGAAUGUGGAAAGGCCUUCAGCCGUGUCUCAGCUCUUAUAGAUCACCAGCGAAUUCAUAGUGGAGAAAAGCCGUAUGAAUGUAAGGAGUGUGGAAGAGCCUUCACUCAAAGUGCCCAGCUCAUUAGACAUCAGAAAACUCAUUCUGGAGAAAAACCCUAUGAGUGUAGUAAGUGUAAGAAAUCUUUUGUGCACCUGUCUUCCCUGAUUGAACAUUGGAGAAUUCACACUGGAGAAAAACCAUAUCAAUGUAAGGACUGCAAAAAGACCUUUUGUCGUGUGAUGCAGUUCACUCUGCACAGGAGAAUUCAUACUGGUGAAAAACCCUAUGAAUGCAAGGAAUGUGGAAAGUCCUUCAGCGCCCAUUCUUCUCUUGUUACUCAUAAGAGAACACACAGUGGAGAAAAACCGUAUAAAUGCAAGGAAUGUGGAAAAGCCUUCAGUGCGCACUCUUCCCUUGUUACUCAUAAGAGAACACACAGUGGAGAGAAACCCUAUACAUGCCAUGCCUGUGGGAAGGCCUUUAAUACUUCCUCCACACUUUGUCAACAUAAUAGAAUUCAUACUGGUGAAAAACCCUUUCAGUGCAGUCAAUGCGGGAAGUCCUUUAGCUGCAGCUCUCACCUUACUCGACACUGUAGAAUGUGUAAUGGAAAAUUUAGCAAAUAACCAAAACUCAAAAUGUUAAUUCUGAUUAUUCUGUAUCAUCACCAGUACUUUGUACUUUGAGUCUUUUUAAAUAUGCUCUGUUAGUUUGUAUGGAAUGAUAUUUCAUUGCACUUUUAAUUUAACUUAAAAAUGCCUUCCCUUGACUGUUGAUAUGUAUUUUUUGUGAAGUGUGUGUUGAAGCCUUGCAGAUUAUUUUUUAAAUUAGAGGUUUAUCACUAGGUAUAUCUCCUAAUGCUAUCCCUCCCCCCUCCCCCUAAUGUAAAUGACGAGUUAAUGGUGCAGCACACCAACAUGGCACAUGUAUACAUAUGUAACAAACCUGCACGUUGUGCACAUGGUACCCUAAAACUUAAAGUAUAAUUAAAAAAAAAAAUUAGAGGUUUUUCUUCGGGUGCAUUUAUGAGAGUUCACCAGAUUUUGGAAAUAUUUUCUAUUCUGUAACCUACCUUUUCAUUUACAUAACAGUGAUAAAAGCUUUAAGUUUGAUCACAUCCAAUUAAUCACAUUUUUUAAUAGUUAUGCUUUUAUUUGUUUUUCAGACAGGGUCUUACUCUGUCACCCAGGCUGGAGUGCAGUGGCACAAUCAUGGCUCACUGCAGUCUCUGCCUCCCAGGCUCAAGUGAUCCUCCCACCUCAGCCUCUCAAGUAGCUGGGACUACAGGCAUGUGCCACCACACCUAAUUUCUAUAUUUUUUGUAGAGACUAGGUUUCACCAUGUUGUCCAGGCUUGUCUUGACCUCCUGAGCUCAAGCAGUCCAUCUGCCUCAGCCUCCCAAAGUGCUGGGACUACAGACAUGAGCCAUUGUGCCUGACCUAGUUCUGCUUUUUAUGUUCUAAGAAGUAUUAUUUAUUCUAUGCUGAGCUUACAUAGAAUUUCUUCCAUGUUUUCUAUAGCUAUAGUGUAUUUUUACCUUUUACUGUUAGAUCUAUUUCAUGUUUUUAUUAUGGAUAAUGGAGGAGGUAAAGGUUGAAUUAUAUUUUCCCCCAUAUUAUUGACCCAUAGUGACACCAGUUUUGGGAGAUGUCUUUCAUUUUCGCCCUUACGUUGUUAUUGGCACCUUUUGCAAAAAUCAAUUAUUUAUCAUGAGUAUACUUCUGAAAUGAUCUGUUUCAUCAAUCUAUUUGUCUUCUCAGUAGUUCCACAUUGUCUUAAUUAUAGCUUUAGAGGAAGUCUUGAAAUUUGGUAGUAAGUCUUCCAGUUUUGUUAUUUUAACAAAUUUCUCUAGGCUGGGCAUGGUGGCUCAUGCCUAUAAUCCCAGCACUUUAGGAGCCCCAGACAGGAGGAUCACUUAAGCGCAGAAGAUCAAGACCAGCCUGGGAAAUAUAGCAAGACCUUAUCUCUACAAAAAAAUUUAGAAAUUAGCUGGGCAUGGUGGCACCCAUCUGUAGUCCUAACUGCUCAGGAGGCUGAGGUGGGAGGAUUGCUUGAGUCCAGGAGUUCAAGGCUGCAGUGAGUUGUGAUCACACCAUUGCAGUCCAGCCAGGUUGACAGAAUGAGACCCUGUCUCUUAAAAAAAAAAAAAAAAAUCCUGGUGAUGCUUUUCUGGAUUAAAAAAUAAAAUAAAAUAAAAAUUGGCCUCA